rnacentral:lncRNA from 1 species
GCAAAGCCUGUUCCUUUUGCUACUGUUAAAAAAUGCAAAACCUUUCUACCCUUUGCAUUUUUCCUAAUCAAUUCUUUGCUCAGGACAUAAAGAACCUAAAAAACAUCUCUAGAAGGAGACGUCAGCAUCCUAAAAUCCAGUAACACUGCAACUCACCUUUUUUCCUCUUCUUUUUUUUAUGAGUGAAGAGAAAUUGUCUUUGGCUGCAGGUCACGACCUCUUGCAGGCUACACUGCACAAAGUUUCCAUUAAAUCAAGUGUUAAAUGAAGAGUUACAAGACAGGAGUGGCGAGAAAAAUAAUGACAGUUAAGAAUGAUGGUCCACACAAAAGCAGUGAAAAGUUGCAGUUCCAGCCCCUAUAAUGGGAGAAUAGAAGGAAUUCAAUCACUUGUACCAAGUGCUUGGUCCAGAGAGAGCCACUAGGGGAAAUAGGGUCCCAGACACAGCAGUCAAAACUGUCAACUUCAAAGGCAAGUUGAGGCACAGUGAGUGUGAAGACAUAGUUUAUUCAAGCCAAAAUGAAGAUGUCACCCAUGAGGAAAGCUG